AUUAUUUUGGCAGAUUAGUGUGAUAAAUUUAGAAUUUAUUUAAAUAUUUUUAAUUAAUAUAAAUAAUA
rnacentral:tRNA from 1 species